rnacentral:lncRNA from 1 species
GAUCCAUACAGCAAUAUCACAUGAUUGUUCUUUAGCUAUCAUACAAGUCUUAGCCCAACUUUUUUUCUGUUUUUUGGUGAGUUCUAUAUCUAUCUUAGGACAACUUAAGGGCACCUAAGAACUCAAACGACAUUCUGCACCCUACUAAAAUCACUGGAAAUUUUAUGGUCCACAUUUCUCAGCAUCCUUUGCUUCAGUCUUCCCAAAAAGUGUACCAAGGAUGGGGUCAAUGGCGGAGCCAAAAAAUCUUCUUAGUGGGAGCAAAACUUAUUAAGCUAUGUGUUUGAAGGAUGAUUUCUGUAUCUCGUGUGCUUUCUUUUUUUUUCUUUUUUUUUUUUUUUUGUUCAAGUCCUAUAGCAUUCAAGUUAAUUUUCGAGUCGACGACUAAUUUUUUUCUCACUUUGGAGUCAUCCACAUAUGGUUGUCUUAUUAGAUUAACUUCAAUAUGAAAAGCCCGAUAAAGUGCAAGAAAAGAACAUUAGACCGAUGUACAACUUGCAAGAUGAUAAAUAGUUCAUAUUAACUUUCAAUUUAAAAGAAUCACGUUGGAAUUUGACGCUUUAUAGUUAUCAUAAAAGGUUUCCAUCAUUUUUUGCAGGUUUUCAUUUCAAAAUAUAUAUCUACCAAAACAAACAUCAUUCUAAGUAAUUUUUCGAUCAGAAAAAUAAAAGCUACCAAUUUGCUUGACAAAAUAAAAACAAGAAAACAAUAUAUGUUAGUCAUCAAUAUUUAUGUGUAAUUUAGAUGAUCAAAAUAAUACUUAAUGCAAAUGGGAUAGACCUUAAAGUUAUAUGUAGUUAACAUUGUUUAUACCUUAGUAGGGGCAAAGAGUUGAAUUUAUUAUUAUGUUUGUAAUUCUUUCAAGUUUUUAACCUAUUACACAAAGGAACACACUGGAGGCAGUGGGGGCAAGUGUCCCCAUUGUGGCUCCGCACUGGAUGGGUUAUGAAACUGCACAAGCACAAAGUUGCUAAGCCAUUAUGAAUAAGUAAAUGGGAAAAAUGAACCAAGACUUGAUGACUAAAUUAUUAAACUGUUCCAUCUUCAGAGUUUCUACUUCAGACUAUAACCAAAAUUCCACCCUAGGUAAUUCUCUCCUUAAAUCUCCGUGGACUCAAAAGCAAUCUGCAUUCACUGGUUGUCUUUUCAAAUUUGCCCCAUUGUUGAAGAACUUCAGAUGCACUUUUCCAUGCCUCUACCUGCCUGCCUGAUCCGUUUCAUUCCUACAUCCAUUUUGCAUAUAAAUUUCAUUAUGAGUCGUAUCUAGACUUCCUCUCACUUGAACAUACCAGCAACCCAACAUUCUUCUACCUAAAUCCAUCUGAUAACACAAAAAUCAUCAUGUCAUGUGCUUUCAUCAUUUAUCUCUUAUAAGACUUUUCUAAGCUUGUAUUUUUCCUUUUCUUCAGGUUUACAGACAUCUUUAUAGUGUAUACUACCAAUUUAUUAAGAAAAUUAAUACUUUUUCUGAACAAAAGUGAAACUUUGCUAAAGAAAAUUGGAAGGUUAGCAAAUACCAAGUCCUCAAAGAAAAACCAACCGCGUUUUCUCCCCGUUUGCGUUCUGUUGAUAUAUUAAACAAACAAAGAGAAACUUUAGGCACCAUGGUCCUUUAGAGGUUCUUUUGAUUGUGAGCGCCCGUAUCAGACUAAAUGAAGUUGCACAUAGUAGAAUAUCAAGAACUAAAUCGUGAAUGUAUGCAAUUGUACGAAAAAAUCACUGAAGGGAACUCUUAUAUUCAGUCACCUAUUUUCCCUGACAUAUAAACAAGAAUUCCUUUCAGUAGGUAGGGUUCACAAAACUAACUGUUUUCCUUUUCAUUUGGGUAAAUAAAAACGUGCCCGGUGUCCAUGAAAAGACCUAGCUUCCAGCGCCUAGCCAAAAUAAGUAGAUCUAAAUGCCUUUUCCAAUAACUCUCACUAGGAAACUAACAUUGGUCAGCUUCAAAAUCAGCUGUACAGCAGUCUAUAAUUGCAUCGUCCUUGUUCCAACUAACUUAUUCAAUCCCAGAUGACAAAGUCAAUUAGCCGAUGAAAAUUUCCACUAAAAAGCCAACAUCCAUUUCUUUCUUUAUAUCCCUAGUCAAGGUACCUGUAGUCCCACAAACAACAGAAAAGGAACAUAAUCACUGCUCGUCAUUUAUUUAUCUUCCUUUCUUUUCUCUUUUACCCUUCUCAUUAGGAGUAAGACAGUUCUUUUGCUGUUGCAAUGCUUCUGAAAGUUGAAAAAAAACCUUAACCUUUCUGUUCCACGAUUACUAUCUUUAUUAACCUAUGAAAACUAUCAUAAUUAUCGUCAAAACUGUUCAUCUUUUACUGCUUCCUACUGUAGGUGAAAGGGAACAAACUGAAGACUAAUAGUGACCCUAACCUCCUACAAGCGUCAAUUACCUAGACUAGAAAACUGACAAGGCCAUUAAAAGGGGGGCCUAACCUAAAGCCAAUGCUCAAGUGAAUGGAGCUCUUAGCUGCUUCUCUAUUCCUACGGCAUCAGUGGUAGAGUCACGGAAUCGGACGUUUACGCAUCAUGUUCUCACAGUAACAUUGACCAAGAAAAUAUUCAAAUACAUGGUUCCUACAUACGCAUAAUUCAGGGUUUAGGCAUUUAGCUAGCUUUGUCAUGCAGUUUAAUCAACAACAUGAUCAACCAAAAUAAAAACUAAUCUGAUCUGACCAUAUUUAAUAGCCCAGAAACAAACGCUCAAGCGGGGUAUACGUUGUACAAUGAUGAAGGUCAACAUGAAAUGUACUUUGAGAAACCAUAAAGGCAAUAGAGGAAAUAUAUAAUGGUUAUAGGUUCACUUUUGCUGCCAAAUUUCUAUCUUUUGCACCCUCCUUUUGGCAGCAUAGAUAAAUGCUACACAUACGAACAAAUGCAUUACAAAAGCUUGCCUUAUUAAACUAAUGUACCAUGCAUCGAUUGUAAAGUUCAAAAUUCACGAGCUCCUCUAUGUUCAAAGCUAGGCAUCCCAGAGUUGUCAUGUCAUGUCCCUUGUUGUGAACUUUUCCUUGUCACUGUUUCUUGAAUUAUCAAUAGUCGAUCCAAGAACUUUUCCUACUUGAAAUCUGUUACCCUAUUUCUUUUGCAGGAGAAAGCAAAGCAACACCAUGCAUUAUUCUCUUUCUUGUCACGCCUCUACGUUUUUGUGACAGACUAUAAAAGAUUUUUUCCAUUCAUUUUCUAAUCCAUCUUUUUAAAACCCCAAACCCAAUAGCAGGUGAAAACAACCAAAAAAAAAAAUCAAGGGGUUCAAAAGAUCGAGUACCAGAAUGAUAGUUUGUGGAGGUCAUCGAGGAAGACGUGGUUGUGGUAAAAUUCUCCUUACAGAGGUUAUUGAGUUCCAACUCAAUAUUGCUCAAGAAAGUAGUCGCUUCAUCAAACGGUUUCAACAGCUCCUCCUUAUAUCUAUGUAGAGCUUCACAAUAUGAUUCCUUCAAAAAAAAAAGAAAAAGAAGAAACAGCAUCAAAAAUAGUAGUGAUUCCCAAUAGCAAGUAAUCGAAAACAGUACUCCAAAAUCAAGAAUCAUUAUUAACGUAUGUAGAACCCUUGACCCCUUAAAUUCUAUCUGCUAGAGCAAAGUCUUUCCAACUUACCAUGAAUUGAUCUAGUUCAGGAUCAGCACUUAUCCCGCUAGGACUGCUUAUGGGGCGACUUAUUUUGCUAAUUUCUUCAAGUAACGAAGCCAUCUCUGGUGGUGCUCCAACCUUUUUUAAGCAUAAUAUAUCAUAAAAAAAUUUGAGGGUUUUAACUGAUAGUAUGUGCGGGGAGGAGUUAUGAAAGACUGAUUACCUUUCUGCAUUCAACAUAGGCAGAAACUAAGUUAGGGUAUAGAUGAUGACUAGCAAUUUGAAUCUUUAAAAGAUCUGACAUCUCUGAUCCAAUGACUUCAUCGUGACUAUUUUCACCAGGUCUAAACUGAACUAAAUUCUCAACUGGGCUACUGCGAUCUAGCCCUCUCAUACUUCCAACUUCAACCGCUCCACCAUCGGGACAUGAAAAUGAGGUGUGAAUUCUGUAUAACUCGUCCAUGAGCUUAAAAAAAAAAAAAAACCAAACCCCAGCGUGUAUAUUGUUACUAUCUUCUUUCUUCAACUUGGAAACCUCGCUUUGAAAAACAAAAACAAAAUCUUCAAGAAAUUACACUAUAUACAAGAACGCGAUGAAAACGCUCAACUGCCAUGCUCAGAGAAUCCAGACUAUUGAGGGAAAAAAGAGGAGAAGUUCAAUAAGGUUUUGUACACAUAUCAUAAGAUGGACGGGGAUGGAACCUGAGAAAUUACGAAGGGAGUUAACAAAUUUAUGCAAAGGGAAAAAGAUGAAAAGGACUAGUCUUGGAUAACUUUCUUUCUGUUCCAAUAUUGGACAAGGAUAUUUGAUGGGAGGAAAAAAAGAGAGCUAAAGAACGCUAGUAGAACUAUAGUAGUACUUAGAUUUAACAUUAAUUAGCUGAGGUGGUGGGGUUUGAGAAGAACGAUAGAUAGGCAGAUAGCACUUGCAAUAUUGCAAUAUUGCAUAGUACUUGAUUUUUAUUUUUUUUUCCCCAACAGCUCAACUAGUCAAAUAUGCACAGAUGCAUGCGUGUGGGUUGGCAUUGUUGUUUAGUAUAAUGUGUGGGUGAAAAAGUUGGGGAAAGGGAUGAGGAAGGGUUACGGAGGAAGGAUUGAAUGUUCGAGGUAUUUUGGCACGUUCUCGCACGCUGGGCAACAGUAGAACAGUGACAGUGUCCGGGGCCGAGGGUGCGGCUGCAGUGGCAGUACGAAACAGUGGUAUAAAUAACUUAGCUUCAAUUUUUUUUGAACCAAGCAUAGACUGCCUUUGGCUUUGAGCGUUUGAAGAGGGGGAUAGUUGUGGACUUGGCCUGUAUCUAUCUGAGAGAUGGAUGUGUCAGUGCAGUAGUGAUAGAUAGGGAUAGAAAGAAAGGAAGAGAGAAAGAGACUGUGGUGAUGUGACGAGGCCACGUUUCGGGAGAUGAUUAGAGGGCCGAGCUGCAAUUGUGGGACAGCUGCUCAAACUUUGACGGGAGUUUGCAGCUGUUCCAUUGUCAUCAGUGGAGUGAAACAACAUGACUCCCUAAAGGCAUGGAAGUCCCAGCCCUGAAUCCUUCCAAUUCUCUCAUUACACGCUGAAUUUAUAACAGCCAAACUCUUGUCUCUCUCCCUCCUUCCCCGUUGUUAAAACCUCCUCUUUUUUCUCUAGGGGUUUCUUUGAUGUUUCCCUUUCGCUGUGUUAAUUACAAGUGUCAAUCUUAUGUACAUUUAUGCAUUACUAUCACCGUUAAAUAUAUGUCAUAUAUGUAAAAUUUAAAUUUAAAAUUUAAAAUUUAAUCACGUGUUAUCCAUCCAAUCAUGAUAAUAUAUAUAAAAUUUACUCUAAUUAAAAGGGAUAAUAUCAAAAACUUCUACUAAGGUUUUCGACAGUUGAAGCCACCUCUCGUGAGUUUUGAAAAAGUAUGAAAACCUCCUCACGAUACUAAAAUUGAUGGUAUAAGCCAAAAAAAAACAAUGAAUAUCCAAUAUUAUCCCUCACUAACAUGUAAAAAGAAUUAAAUGUUAAAAAAUCAACUAUCACCAUUAUCCGUUAGGUAAAAUUUUCAAGUUAACUUUUUGUAGAAAAAUUUAAACCAUGGUUUAAAAGCAUUCUUUUUUGGUUAAGUGAUUUUUGAAGAUACUUAUUUUAAUAAAUACCUCCCUAAUUGGUCGAUCAACUUUUUGUAAAUUGAUUAAUAAAUCUAAUCAAACAAUUGAGGAUGAAGUAUAAUGCAUUAGAUUAGUUGGCGUUAGAAUUUUAGGAUUACGAUAAAGAAGUAUUACCAAAAAAAGAAUUUAAUUUUUCUUUUAGACUCAUUUUCACUUAAAAUUUGUAAAGUUUGUGAAGGUUAUCAUAGUAUUUUCAUAGCCUCAAAAGAGGUAAGUAUAAUUUUUUAAACUUUAGAGGAGAUGGACACAAUUGUCAAAAAUCUUAAGAGAGGUUUCUUAAAUUAUCCCAUGUUAAAAACUAAAAGACAUGCACUGUAUGUUGAGAGGUGCAUGUUAUCUUAUGUCACUUCCAUAGAUUUAAAUUUAAAUUAGAUUAAGAAUCACUAAAACAUACAAACUACAUAUAUCAAAAGAUACCCUGGUAACUAUCAGUUUGUUUGGAUCGAAGAUUAUUCAAAAAAAUGGAAUAAUUGUAUCAUUUUUCAAGACAUAGAAUUAAUGUUUAUGAGAUAAAAAGAUUUUUUAACAAAAAAAGAUAAUUAAAAACAUGUUUAUGAUGCAAUAAAUUUUGAAAACAAUUGCUGUCAAAAUAGAUUUGUUUGGAUUAGGAAUGCUUGAAGAUGUUCUUAAGAAAAAUUUAUCUGUAGAUUUUGUAAUUUAAAAUUUUUUUAAGUUAUUAGGGUUGGUUUAAAACCACCACCCUUGCUUUCCCUUUCUUUUUUUUUUUUUUUGGCCAUCUCGUCCAACCACUUAUCAACUUGCCAACCUCUCCCUCCAUUCCCCCCCCCCCCUCUCCAAACAAUCACUUCUCACUAUAACCCGCAAACCCCUUCCCCAACACUCUUAACAACCCACCAUGCCUUACUUAUCACCAAAACUUUUAACGAGUCGAAUCAAGUCAAAUACUUGAUUUUAGACCCUGUUCGUAUAUUAUAAGAAUAGGAUUCAAAUUCAAUCAAAUAUUAAAUGAGUCAUAAAUAAUGUUUGAAUUUGAUUCAUUAAUUUGUAUAAAUAUUCGAAUUUGACUUGUUUGAUUUAACGAGACAAAUUUGAACUCGAGUUUGAAUUUAAGUUUGAAAAUGAUUUAAUUAUAUUUUCUAAAAAAUAAUUCUUUAGUUAGAAUAAUUUUAAUUAUAUUUCUUCGUUAUAAAAAUAAUUAAUACUAAUUUUAUAUAUAAAUAUUUUUUGAUAAAAAUACAAUAUAUAUUUAAUAAUAUUAAAUGUAUUUAUACUUGUAUUUAUUAUUUUUAUAAUUAGUUCACAACAGAUUCAUGUUCGCUCGAUUAUUAAUAAACAUAAUAUUGUGUAUGAACUCUAUUCAUUUUUUAUAAAAUCAAACUUUUCUGAACUCGAGCAAGUCGUACUUGAACAUGUUCACAAAUAGUUUAAUUCAUCACCUCUACUUAUUAUAGGAUUGUCAAUGGGGUCGGGUCAACUCGACCUCGACCCAUUUGGCCUGAAAAAACUCAUUGAGCCUAAACUUUAAUGGGGUUGGGCAUAAUUUGGGUUUAAAUAUUAGGAUCGGACUAAAUAUGAGCUAAACUUGGGUUAUACUAGAUUCAGACUCGAUUAAAACCAAGCCCAUAUAUGAGUAUAAUUAUAUAUGUAAAUAUAUAUAAUAAUAUCUAUAAUUUAUAAUUAUACAUAAUACGACAUAAAAUGUUUAUAAUUUAUAUAUAAAUUUGUAGUAACUCAUAAUUAUAAAAUAUAUAUUAUAUAUAAUUAUGUAUUUAAUUAGUACGAGUUUGGGCUAAACCCAAUUUAAGAUUGAAAUUCAUAUCAUAGUGUGAGUUGAGUUUAACCUUUUAAUAUGAGCUCAAACUCAAAAGAUCGAAACUCAAAAAUUCAUAGAAUUUGUAAACCGAAAUUGGGUUUGCUAAAGUCCGAUUCAAAAAGCAAUGAGGUUGGUUGUAGGGUAAAGAGGUGGGGGUUACUGAGGAUGGUAGGGAAUGUGGAAAGAAAAAUGUUGGGUAAUCAAGAGGGUGAUGGAAGGGAUUGGUAGUAGGGAACUAGAGGUGGUAGGGAUUAUGGUAGAGAAAAAAGCGAUGAUAUCGUUAGUGUGUUUUUUCUUCUUUUUUUUUUUUUUUUGAAUGUGUGUUUAAGGGGUUGCUACAAACUUUAUUUUGUUAAAAAACGUGUCUUUUAAAAAAACCAAUCCAAUUACAUUCUAAAUUCUAUUUGGAUUCCUAGUUUUUCACAAAAAAAAUGUAUAGUAAGUAUCUAAAAAAUAUGCUAAAAAUACCUAAAAACAACCCACAAAACACACCAACACGCUAUCAUCCAAUCUCACUCUACCACCACUCUUACCACUUCUCACGCCCUCCCUACUAGGGAUGGCAACAGGGCGGGGUUGGGGCGGGGGACCCCUCCCUCAUCCCCCGCCCCGCUGCCUACAAACUCCCCCGCCCCCGCCCCAUCCCCCGUCCCCGCCCCGCUCUUCUUCCCCCGUGGGUGCCCCCGUGAGGCUAAUAAAAAUUUGUUAUAUAAUUUUAUUAUGGUUAAAUUUUAGCAAAUAAUCAAGUACUAAAAUAUUAACACAUCAUCAAAUUAUUAUUCAUUAUAAUUUUACAAUUGAAACUUAUAAAAACAAUCAAACAAAAAAUAUUUGAAUACAAUCCAACAUUAUGAAAUAAAUAUAACUAAAGUAGUCAAGUUUUCACUUUUGGCACAAAUACAAUCACUAAUUCAUUAUUGUGCUUGUGCUUUUUUUAAGAAAAAAAUAUUAUUGUAUUAAGUGUAAUUAGGGAUUUAGUAUAAAUGUAUUAGUAAAUUUAGUAUAACCAAUUAAUAAUUUGUAUUAGUACACAUAUAUAAUUAUUAGUAUAAUUAAUAAUAUCAAUUAUAUUAUAUAUACUAAUAGACAUUAUAUAAUACAUAUAACCAAUAAUAUCAUUAUCAUAAGUUUGUAACUAAUUAAAUUAUAUAUUAUAUAUAUAAUUAUAUAUAUAUUUUUUAAAGUAGGUGGCGAGGCGGGGGUACACUCCCCCGCCCCCCGCCCCGUUUCUAAUCGGGGGGAAAAAUAUUCCCCCCGCCCCCGCCCCGUUUCUAAUCGGGGGGAAAAAUAUUCCCCCCGCCCCCGCCCCCGCCCCAUUAACCCCCUGCGGGGUGGGUCACCCGUCCCCAUUGCCAUCCCUACUCCCUACAAAGGAAGAAAAAUGCCAAGAAUGGCGGGGCUAGAAAGAUGAGGAAGAAGGGAGAAGAACUGCUAUGAUUUAUAAAAAUAACGUAAAAAAAUCUUUAAAGCACCUUAUGAAUAUCUUAUUCAGAAAUUCUUUCAAAAGAUAAAAUCCACAAUAUAUUUCAAAACCCAAUCAACAACACCCAAAUUUUGAUUAAAUUUAGAGUAAAUUUUUUAUACAUGAAUAGUGUGUAUAUCAUUACGGUCAGAUACAUGACAUAUAUGCAAAUUUUAAAUUUUAAAUUCAAAUUUAAAUUAGUUAUCAUGCACAUGAAUUUUAUGAUGUAAAUAAUGUCAAUGUAUAUAAGAUUAAUCUUUAAACUUAUAUAUUUCAACCACUAUUUUAUGUUUAUGACUAUCUUUUACCUGCACAGAUAACAUAACAUAACAUGCCACGUUAUUGUUUCUUAAAACAAUUUCUAAACUACCCAACUCAAAAAAUAGACUACGUAGUACAUACAAAUCAAUUGAAAACAAAAGGCCUUAAAAUAACUAAUAAAUGUUUUCAAGGUAAUGAACGCUGUGAAAGCUAUUACUCAACUACCGAAACAGUAUGAGAGCGGAUUAAAAGUCCUCAAAGCCAAUAGACCGGAAAAAGAACUCAUCUUUUUUUCUUUUUUUUGGUCAAAAGAGAAAAGUAAAGAACUCUGUCGAUGCAGUAGAAUAUAGUACAAUAUGUCAACGUAACCAGCGAUGAGGAAGAAUACAUCCCGUUGAACGAAAUACACCGGCCGAGGAAAUGUAUACCUAGUUCUCAAUUGAGAAAACGUCGUCGGCCCAAAGACUAAGGAAAAAAAAAACCGUUGGACUCUUUUCUUUUUUUUAAAAAAAAGAAGAAAAAAAUCUAGUAAAAAACCCCACAGAUAUAGGUGCUAUAUAGUUUUGAGUAAUCUUUUUCUUUAAUUAAGAGCUUCAUCUCCUAAUUACACUAAAAAAAUUAAGAGCUUCUCCUUUUUUUUUCAUCAACUCUUAAUUAUAUUCUACCAACCUUUUCAUUUCCCUACAGUAGUAGAUGAAAUGUAUGUUGUCUUGAUAUUAAUAUUUAGAUUUUUCUAAUGAGUGUCCCGUAUUCCUUAACAUACCUAAAUUACAUCUAAUUUAUCAUGUGAAUGCAUACACUUACAUUUAUUAUCCUUUGAAUUUAGACACUUUCUCGAAUUAUUUUCAUUCUUGCCAAAAAAAAUUAACACUUGAACUUUCUUAACUAGAUUUUAUUAUUAAAAUUACUUCAAAAUUUUUUUUCUUACCAUGCCUUGAGGAUUGAAUUUUUUAUUAAAAGUUAUAUUAAAUUGCACUUGAAAUAUUUGAGUAGUGACGUUGGAGACAAAUUAUUUGAGUAAAUGAGAUAUUGUAAAGUAAAUACACAAGUUUGUAGUAAAUCAACUUGUGUUAAAUGUAUAAUAAAUCUUUGUGUACUCUCGUUCAGUGUAUUAUUGUCAAUAGUAUUGAGAUCAAUUGGUUGGCAGUUUUUAGGAAUAACUUACUAAUAAUGGUGCAUGUGUGACAAAAAUGUGAUUAACAAUAGAGUCUCUUUAACGGGUGUCCAGUGUUAAGAUAUAUUUUAGGUGUCAUAUUUUUAGAAAUAUAAAACUAAUUAGAAAAAGUAAAUAAAUAUAUGAGAAUAUAGAUAAGAUGGGAAUAUAGGAAAAGUAUAUAAAUGCAAAACGGGGUAAUAAUUGUAAUAUAUGUAUGCACAUGAUAAGUUAGGUAAAUUUUAAAUAUAUUAACGAAAGCACCCGUUAGAAAAAUUCUUAUUAAAAAUAAAGUUACCCUUAUUAUUAAAAAAAUUAAUACUUGAAACUCUCUUACCAUGCCUUUAGGAUUGAAGUUUUUAUUAAAAGUUAUAUUACAUUGCCCUUGAAAUAUUUGAGUUGUGGCGAUGGGGACAAAUUAUUUGAGUAAAUGAGAUAUUGUGACGUACACACACAAGUUUGUAGUACAUCGUCUUGUCUUAAAUGUAUAAUUAAUCUUUAUGUACUCUUGUUCAGUGUAUAAUUGUCAAUACUCAAUAGUAUUGAGAUCUCUCGAUAGAAACUUGGGCUCAUUUGGUUGGCAGUUUUUAGAAAUAACUCACUAAUAAUGGUGCAUGUGUGACAGAAUGUAAUUAAUAAUAAGGUUUGUCUAACGGGUGUCCAGUGGCUACUCAUUAAGAUAUAGCUCAUGUGUCAUAUUUUUAAAACAGUUUAUCUAAUGGGUGCCUAUAGAGCACUCAUAGUAUAUAAACACAAGAGAGGAUAAUAAUUAUAUGUACGUGUAUAUGUUUUGCAGGUUAGGUGAAUAUUAGAUGUGUUAACGAGUGUCCUAAGAGCACCUGUUAUAAAAACCCUUUUUAGAAAUAUAAGACUAAUUAGGGGAAAUAAAUAAAUACAGGAGAGGAUAGAUAAGAUUAAAUACAGAAAGUGUAUAAAUGCAAGAGAGGGUAAUAACUGUAGUAUAUGAUUUGCAUCUUAUUUACACAUACUGACUUGCUUGCAUCAUCAACACAUUUUUCUACCAUAUUUUUUUUAUCUCAUAUAUAUCACAUAAAAAAAGUGUUACAGUACUGAGUGUGUUUGGAUUGCUGAAUUGUUUCACAUAAUAUUUUACUUGCAUCAUAAUUCAUAAAUGUAUUUUCCAAUCCACCUUUUUAUAUUUCCAACUAUGUUUUUAUCUCACGUACAUCACAUCACAAAAAAGUACUACAGUAAUUACUCUAAACAAUAUUUCAAAUAAUACGCUAUUCAUAUUUUUUUCAAAAAUUUAUCCCAAAUAAUUUUCCAUCCAAACAUAAGUCUAAAGGUGAAUUUCAAAUAUGUUAACGAGUACCCGUUGAGCACCCGUUAGAAAAAUCAUUAUUCAUAAUGAGCAUGUAAAGUAAACUUUUAACAAAAUGUCAACCACAAGGAAAGAGAAAAAAGAAAAAGCAGAGAUAUUCAAUAGCAUCCCCAGAAAUCAAACGAAUCUUGGAGGCAAAUCUUUUGAGUUAUGUAGGAUAUACUUUGUUCACCAGAUAUGAUUGUGUAUCUCUUAUUGACCAGAACCUUUUAGCACAUAUUAUUAAAUUAAGAUUACGAAUUGUAGGUUGAAAAAGUGAUUGUGAUUUGUGAAUCUGCAUUUGGAAAUGAUUAUGUUGUUUAAUAAUCACAUGAUGCUGUGCUAAAAAAGUAUUAGUAUUUUUAUUAGUUUUAAUGCAUAGUCACUGUUGCAGAAACUAAAUGAACUUCUUCGACCUAGGAUCCUUACCAGGUGGCCCAUCUGAAUUGAGGGCCACUGGCUGGCACAUUCAAUAGGGCCCCCAAUAAGUGUUCUAAAUAGGAAAUCCAUUUCCCCAAAAACAAAAAACAAAAAGAAAAGAUAAGUUCUAUGACAAAAGCAAAAUAUAUGUGGAUACUUUUGUUUUUGUCUUUUUGAUAUAGUAUUAGUGUUUAAGGCACACUCGAUUCGAUAUCCGUGUAAUUAAUAACAAAUAUAUUUGUAAAAAAAUUAUUUAUAGUACAAAAUGAAAGAAUUUUUUUUUUUAAAAAAGAAAUGCUUACAAAUUAUGAAAAAUCUAGAAAGAGCCGUCUUGUGGAUAAUUGGAGAGGUACACGUGAUUUGCAAUUGUGAGAGUAAAAAACAUUUUCUUGUGGAGUCGAACUAGAAUUGGAACUCGAAUAUUUAUACAAAUGAGUAAAUAGAAAUCAAGUAACAGUUAUAAUUCCUUCAAUAUUAGAUCGAGUUCAAAUCUAACGAGUUUGACAGUUUAACCCUAUUCGUAUAACAUACGAACAAAAAUUGAACGCCAAUUAUUUUGGUGGGCUCCGGCAGUCGAAAGAUAACAAGGAGGUCCCAUAGAGAGUCCACCAGAAGAACAAUUAGGCCGAAACAAGGAAAGCUUACCCAUAUACUCAGGCACCUCUACAAGGCUUAAUUCAGUACUACAGACAGAGACACAAGAGAAGCUACAAGAGUAGAGGGUUUCGAGACGAUUCAUGAAAAUCUUAUGUCAUCUACACAAACAUUGGCCGCAAUUUCUGGAUCCUACAGGGGCCUAAACUUGCCUGAAUUGCUAAUGAAACCAGAUGCCGAAAAACCAUGCUUUUCUUUCUUCUUGUUAGUGGGAAUGGAAAUUAGGUUGCAAUUUUUGUCGUUAGCCUCUUGUUUGGAUUGCAAUUUUCCAAAAAGAAAAUUUUAUAUUUUCCAUAAUCACAUAUUCACAUUUCCUAAUUAUCUUUUUUAACGUCACAUAUAUCAAAUUGCAAUAAUAUUUUUUUUACAUGAAUUCCAGACAAUGACAGGCAAACGAAACAACUCGGCCCCUAUUUCACUUCCGCAUUUAUACUUCGAGAAAUUUUCAUGUGAUAAAGCCUUGGUUUUAGUCUUCUAGAGUUUAGUUUGCUUUCUCUCUUAACUCUCUCUUUUUUUUUUUUUGGGUAUGAAACAGAAAAGAGAUGGUCAAAAUUUAGGAUUAAUUUCUCCUACAUUGACAGUGUAUACACUGUCAACAUUGGAUGAAUGAUAACUAUGCAAAAUUUGAAUUUGAAAUUCAAUUUUUGUACACAUGUCAUGAAUUCAACGAUGAUAGUGUAUAUACUGCCAGUGUAGGAAAGAUUUACUCCAAAAUUUGUUACCUCAACGAAUAAUGGUCGUGACUGAGUCACCAACAUUUUUCCAAGUUGCUUCCUGUUCCUUUCGCUUCACACAUGGAGUUGUAUUCCACUUUGAGUUUACAGCCAUAUUCAGGUUAAAACUGGUCUAGAACCACAUUUUCUGUAGUUCAUUAGGGUCCAAGAAUAUGAUUUUCCCGAAAAACAAAAUUGUAACUUGUACGUGGGAUUUUUAAGUACCAUGAUGCAUUUUAUGGAUCAAGAUUGUCAGGUUACCCAUGAUUCUAUCAUGAUUUCACACGUUAUAGUUAAGAGAUUAUGCUUCAUUUUAUGGAUCAACUUAGUUUUGUUAACGACUCAGUUUGGUUUCUUCUGUAGUGCCAUCUCAGGUUUCAUGAACCCUGAACAACAGCUACACAUUACCAUGCACAGGGACGAAACUGCUCUUGCCCUCUUUUAUGGCUGCUGGCAUUUCAAUUUUCGUUCAUUUUUUUUAAGGUUGGGACAAUAUUAACUAAUAGAAAACCUUCCAAGAAAAUCAGUUCCUGCAUAUAUAUUUUCUCUCCAUCAGAAAGCAUUUCGCCCACGUAGACUGCAGAUAAGAAACUCGGUCGCAUUUUCACACACAAACACACAGGGUUUUGUCUUGUGCGCUUUACAAGCCCAUAGGGGUUACAUAAUUUAGUCUGCACUGCAAACUGUUGGUGUCAAUGCGAAAGCCAAUGCUGCGAAUGGCAUAAAGCUAGGCAACUAGCGAACUAAUUACACAUCAUCUCAAGGUGCAAACACUGCAAAUGUUCUAGGCUUGACAAGGCUAACCUCAUAAACAUUACCUAC